rnacentral:misc_RNA from 1 species
UAAACUGCAAAUUAUUAGGGGCUCAAUCUUAGGAGCUACAUGCAAUUGAGCCUCUUAACAUGAAUCAUGAGGUCAUAAAAGCUGUCAUUUCAUAAGUUCAUGUUCAAAGUUCAAUAAUACAAGUCAACUCCACAUAGUAAGAACAUUUUAUGACAGAAAGAAUCAAACACUGACAAAAACAAAAUGGCAUGAAAUUAUCACUACUCUUCAGCCACAAUUCCAGGAAUCAAGAUUUUAUAAAAAGAGAAACGUGAUAAAAUAAUUAAAUACAUGCACCAAUCAGCCUAUUGUUCACAUGAUAUGCUGAAAUUAGACUUGAUUUAUUCAGGUUUGCUCAGAAAAUCUAAAAACAUGGUUUCAUUUAAGGUUUACAUAAUAAAUUGGAAUUUUCAAAUAAUUUAUUAAAAAAGUAUAGGAUAUAGAUGCAUUUUUAUUUAAUUUUAAGUAAACUUUUAUUUUACCAAUAAA